UAUAACUUUUUUUCAGAUAUGCUCAAUUCAUUUUUUGGAUGGCCAUCCAAGCAAACAAAAUCCUGUUCCAGUCUUAAAUUUGGGAUAUCAAAUAAAGGUGACACAAGGGAGAAGGACCAUUUUCCGACACCCUCUCUCUGAUGUUUCUCGGACCCCAAGGAGCAAUCAACUGACUGAGGAGUGCCAUGCUGAAGCUGAACUGACAGAUCAACCUGUAUCUCAAGCUGAAGAGAA
rnacentral:lncRNA from 1 species